rnacentral:pre_miRNA from 1 species
AAUAUGACUGCUAGAUCAUAUGGUAAGAGCUUGUUUAGUUUUGUAGGCAACUUCCCAACUGUUUUCUAAAAAUAGCUCUGUCAUUUUGCAUUCCCUUCAGCAGU